UUUCCGUAGGUGAACCUGCGGAAGGAUCAUUAACGAGUUAGGGUCUUUUAGGCUCGACCUCCCAACCCUAUGUUUAUUGAACCUCUGUUGCUUCGGCGGACCCGUCUCACGGCCGCCGGAGGACCGCCGCGAGGCGUCCUCUGGCCAGCGUCCGCCGAUGGCCAACCCACUAAACUCUGAUGAAUCGUGUCAUAUGUCUAAGUCUAUGAUUAAAUUAAAGCAAAACUUUCAACAACGGAUCUCUUGGUUCUG
rnacentral:misc_RNA from 1 species